AUCAGACGAUUCCUCUAAUAAAACUUUGCAAGAAAUUAACGUGUAUUUGGAAUGACGUUACUCAAAAGGGGUCAUCAGCUUCAACAAGACACUCUUGUGUCACUUCGAACAACAUCAGAACCAUCAACAAAGAUGUGAAUCCAGACAUUCCGAGUAAUUCAGCUGAUCAUCAAGAAAAUCAUGAUGAGGGCUUGUCAGAAUCAGCUUCAACAGUGCACUCGCACAUCUAUUCAAGCCACAUAAGAACCAUCAACUUGGAUGUAAAUGAAGACAUUGUUCUUAGUACUUCAGCUGAUCAUCAAAAUGAUG